AAACUAAAAAUGAACCAAACGGCGCCGCCUCUCUCUACACGCUUCUGCCCGUUGCCUCAUGCCCAAAAUCGCCAGAAAUUUGCUUUUCCGGCACGCGCUUUCAUUGGUACCCCCUCCCCUUUUCUACCUUAUCUUUCGUCCAUGUGGUCUGACAUGUAACAAACACCCACUCACUCGAAUAUUCCUUCAAAUUUUUCUUUUUCUUGACAAAUUCAAAUUCUUUUCAGAUGGGUUUUGGAAAAUUGGAGGCCGUAGGAUUAGAGUUUUUUUGAUCCUAGGUUUUCACUUGUCUAAAAUCGGUCAUUUCAAAAAAGAAUUUUUGGAUUUAAUAAAGGUUUGGAUUUUUCAGAGUUUUGGAGAAGAUUUUCGGAUGUUUGAGGUCCCCACGCGAUUUCUUGGUGAAGAAGUAUAGAAGUUUCGAGAUGGAGUAUAUAUUUUGGGCCUUUUUCUUUUAGUCGGGGGAGGCCAGUCUUUGGGAGGAAAAAUUAGAAAGCUAGGGUUUUGGUUCUGAUUUACAAUCUUCAUCUUCUACUUUUAGUUUCAUUCAUAUAAAACGUUAGUGUUUCUAUUAGUUCUUCUUUUGAUUUUUGAAACAGAAAAUAUGUAUAUGUAUAUAUAUAUGUAUAUGUAUAUGUAUAUAUAUAUAUAUAUAUAUAUAUAUAUAUAUAUGUGUGUGUGUGUGUGUAUGUAUAUAUACAAUAUUAGUUUGUUGAUAUGGUUUUCAAUCAUGGAUUGCAUCCGAGGUGUAGCGGAGGGUUGAUUCGCUUAAGUUGCUGAUUCGAGGUUCUCGAUUCCGGUUCUUUGCUGAACUCGUAGCUGUAUUCUGAGCAUUUGGUUUUGUAUUGGUACGUUUCAUUUUCUGGAUAUCGAAAUUAAUCGAAAGCUGCAGUUUCAAGUUCAAUCUCUUUCUCUUUUAUAUAUUUGUAUUAAGGUGCAAUUAGAGUAUGAUAGAGCCGUGGAGAAUUUGUUUCUAGAGUAGUGCUUUCUUUGAUCAAGUUUAGUGGAGGUCGAGUCCGGAGUUAUCUCUUGGUUGAGAUUUGUGCUUACGAGGGAUUUUGGAAAUGGCGUUUUUGUUGUUUGAUAUCUUUUCGUCACUAUUUUGAUAUGUUUGAGAUUAGUCGGAGUUCGAUUAGCUAGAUUUUAGCUUAAUUGGAAAUUGUCCGGAGCGUUUGUCUAAUUAUGUUUCAAUAUGUUGUUUCAAUUUGUUCUUCUCUGCUGGUUUUGAAUUGACUGCUUGCAUUAGAUUUCAUCAUCGAGUGAUUAGCAUGAUUCAUCGAUAUUUAUCGUGUUCGAGCUUAGAGUUCAUGUGCAUGAUUAGUCUAAAAGGAAGAAAACCAUUAAUACCUGGCAUGCUCUAACUGAAUUCUGAAUGAUAGAGAUACCAUGAGCUAUAAUGUCGCCAUGUUAAUCUAGAAAUUGGAGUGGUUCUGUUGUGUUUCGUUUGCUUCCAGUCUGCUGAAACUUUUUAUUAAUCUCUUUUUGUUGGAUUUGCUUUUGUUUUUGGCUAAAAUGUAAUUUCAUCUGUAGAUCCAUUCAUGAACUAAAAAUGCAUGCCCUUAAACUUAUUUACUUAUUGAAUCCAUAAAUCAUUUUGUCUCACCGGAUAAACUGAAGCUUAGUGACAUCUACUUCUUUGUAAAUUCGUGCAAACUUUUUUUCUGUUUGAAAUGCAAACUGAAUUUAUAUUCAUUGGGGCGUCAAGAGAUUGAUCUAUGCUAUGCAUCUUUCUAAUUAUCAAGACGACAGUGAUAUGCCUAAAAAGAAAUUGAUCCAUGAAUUAACCUUAGUGAUUGAUUGUUAGUUUCUUGUUCAUGCUAAGAGACACAAAUCCCUUUUAUUGAUUAAAUAUGAAGCUGAUGACAAAUGUUUACUUGGGUUAAACAUGUUUGUGAUGUGUGAAAGUUAUUUGUGAAAGAAUUUUAUUUUGCGGGUAUAUAUUGUAGACAUGUGAUUUUUGACCCCCCCCCCCCCAAGAUCUUUUAUAUUUUAGCACAUAAAUAUUUAAUUUAGGCCUAAUAUAACUAUUUCAAUUAAUUUUUACUCUUUUACUUUAUUUUAUUAUAAGAAAACGAAAACUACAAAAAAAAUAGUUUCAUUAAUGUUUUGUAGUCAUUUAUAAUCUUGAAAAAUACCCAAAAAUAGUUUUGUUUUAAUAGUCAGUCUUAUUUUAAUAAUUAUUUUUACUUAAGUAUGGCUAAUUAAUAUUUCUAUAUGGAUAUAUUUUUAGUUAAUUAAACUAAUUUUAAGCAUAGCUAAUCAUAAAAGCCCAUAAUUUUCAAGCCCAUAAUUUCUAGGCUCA
rnacentral:lncRNA from 1 species